rnacentral:snRNA from 1 species
GCAUUUUAAGCAGCACAUAUACUAAAAUUGGAACGAUACAGAGAAGAUUAGCAUGGCCCUAGCCCAAGGAUGAAA